rnacentral:lncRNA from 10 species
GGAAGGGAGGAAGCGUAGAAGGUGCCGAUGCACUUUUCCUCUCUCCAGCCCUCCUGACUGCUCCAAGAAUUUCAUCGAACAAGACUCAAAGAGGCCCAGCUGCUCUGCGUUUUGAUUCUUCUCCCUCUCUCAGUCCACACUGACCUGGGAGGGGCUUCUCAAACACCACAUUUCCUAGCGUGCUGUGAGAAGAGGACUGUGAGCUAAGAAGGGAGAAAAGGCACUCCCUCCUCAUCAACAAACACCUGACCUGGGUAGACCCUCUGCUUACCAAGAUCCAGUCCACCUUUUGACAUCAGCAUUCAUGCUGCCUCUUUUUACGAACCAAGCCAAAGUGGUCCCUUCCUCUGGAAAUUAUAGGAUACUUAAUGUACAUCAUAUCCAGGCCUUUUCUGCCCUGCUGAACUUUCUGAAAUACACUCUUUCUGCUCCCUGCGUCCCUUCAAAAUAACCUGGUAAAAUGCUUUAUAGUGAUCACUCUGGCAGUCAUUCCGCUAGGUUCUUGGGAGAAAAGACAAAGCUUUUGCCUGGGGCCACACUGCACGGCCUAUUUCUGAAAAGCUGCAUCAGCAACCAACAGGUGGGCGGUUCUCCACUGGCUACAAACAUCCAGCUUUGACUGUCUGACCCAGCCCCCUUUCCAGCCUCCAGUCCUACCACGGCACCUGACACCGGCUACAUCAAACUCCUGGAGCAACCAGAACUCAAGGCCCUUUUUCACUUCCCUCUGUUUGGAACAUCCUUCCUCUACCUUUAGAAUUCACUGUCUCUCUUCCUGCAAGACUCAGCUCAAAUGUCCCCUCC